GCCCAGGUGGCGGAAUUGGUAGACGCGCUGGCUUCAGGUGCCAGUGACCAUAGGUCGUGGAAGUUCGAGUCUUCUCCUGGGCACCA
rnacentral:tRNA from 1 species